ACAGAUUCUCUCUCCACACCAUGAAGCUGCUGCUGAAGGAGGGAAGAGGGCUAGUGUUGGCAAUCCAAGACAGUCUUUUCUACACUCUUCAGUGUCUCGUUAAACUACAUGAAGCUAAAACCAGGCAUCACAACAGGGUGGAAUUGGAGUUGCUCUAUGAAAAAAAGCUGAAGUAUGCAUAGCCUGCCUGAUCACUGGUGUAGAGUCAAAGAAAUAAAGUUUGAACUUGAACAGCAAUGCUUCCUUGGAAUAUUCUCUCCAUGAGGCUUUGGAUGGUAUACUCAUUUGGACAGAAGGUUUCAAAAGAAAGAAGAAGAGAGAGAGGAGAAAAGAAGAAAAGAAAAGAAAAGAAAAGAAAGAAAAGAAAAGAGAAAUGAAAAAAAAAAUAGGAAAACAGGUGAAGACAAUGAACAAAUGGCUCCACUUUUGUAACCAACAGAGAUUCCAGCAUGAUCACAAACAAAACAUCUGACAACUCAAAAAAGUAUCUCCAUGUGUUUCCACACAUGGACCAAUUUGGACUGGAAUGAAAAGUGUGAGCUACCACAAACAGUUCCUCUUCAGGUCAUAUAUGGUGGUCACCCCAACACUAUGCUCUUCUGUAAAACAUUUUACACUUACAGCCUUGUCCAGUUUCUCUCUCCAACAACUUGACUUCCUGUGCUAUAGAUAAGUAUCAAUGCCUCCUCUUUUUUAAAUCACUGUGGCCCAUAAAGAUAUUUCUAGGCCUCUUGACAUUUUCAACUCUAUUUUUACACCACAGACCUGAGAAUAAUGAAAAAAUGCAGUAAGUAAUGUACAUAGGUCUUUUCCUCAUGUGGGACAUUGCGGGUAACCUGACAUUGGUGAGACUGGACUGAACAUAUGCCAUUUUAUUACCCUCUGUGGCUGUGCCUGUGUGGGAGAAUCCGUAUGUGUGUGGGAAAGGUCUGUCACAUCUGAAGAGGGCUGGAAGGGUCUUUUCUCCUUUGAUGAUAAUGAAUAAACUGCAUGUUGUGCACCUGUGUAUUGACCAUGACCCAUCACGUGAGGUCAGCGUGGAAUUUUCUACUUGUGGUGUCAUGUUGGCACCCAAAAAUUUCAGAUUUUUGAGCAUUUUGAAUUUCAGAUUUUUGGAUUAGCUAUACUCAACCUGCAAUGUUUAUAUUUACAUAAUAUGAAUGAAGAGAGGCUUAAAAUAAGGUCAAAUAACUUUCUCAAAAUUGCAGAUGGUAAACACUGGGCCAUUUUAUUAAGAUUAUUGUGAAGCUUCCUGAUUGAUCUCAGUGAUCUCAAUCUCACUGUAUGUCAUACUGCUACCAGAAUAAUUUUUCAAUAUGUAAAUCUAAUUCUACUAGUUACCUGCCUAAAAUCUCGAGGUAGAUUCCCAUAUGAUUUGAAAGUAUUUUUUGACUUUUUCUUGCAUAUUGUUCUUUUUGUAUGGGCCACUGCAAUAAUUCUGGACUUUUUCCAAGCUAAAUUAUUUAUUGCUCCCAUUACUUGUUUACAUGUGCUCUUCCCGCUGCUAGAGCUUUCUCCAUUCUUUUAUUCAUAUGCUCAAUUACAAUUCUUUCUUUAAACAUGUUUCAUCACACCUAAGAAGUUGUUUCAAACAUCUCAAUCUGAUAUAAAAUGAACUCUGUAUCAAACUUUAUCAGCCCCUAUCCCAUGCUAUUAAAAUUAUUUCUUUCUUACCAGGCACACUUUUGAAACUACAAACUUUUGAAUACACACAUACACACACACACACACACACACACACACACCCCAUACAUACUCAAUAUACUUAUAUACUCAAUAUAUGUGUCUGUAUAUAUAUAUAUAAAAAUAAUAUAUAUGUAUGCAUUAAUCGUGCAGAUUUAUGUAGUUCUGCAUAAUUUUUUCAUUUUGUCAGUUCACAC
rnacentral:lncRNA from 1 species